CUACGGAGGGUGCAAGCGUUACUCGGAAUCACUGGGCGUAAAGCGCGCGCAGGCGGUCUUUUAAGUUGGAUGUGAAAGCCUACGGCUCAACCGUAGAACUGCAUCCAAAACUAUUAGACUAGAGUGUGGGAGAGGAAGAUGGAAUUAGUUGUGUAGGGGUAAAAUCCGUAGAGAUAACUAGGAAUACCAAAAGCGAAGGCAAUCUUCUGGAACACUACUGACGCUGAGGCGCGGAAGCGUGGGGAGCAAACAGGAUUAGAAACCCUAGUAGUCC
rnacentral:rRNA from 1 species